GAGAGAGAGAAGUCUUGAGCUCACACAAGCAGAGUUCUGUGCAGGGAGACAGCUCAGAAGACAGUUGUUAACCCUUUCUCUUACUUGUAUUCUUAGCAAGUGCCCACACCCCUCCUGAUCAUUUAAGUAGUAUCAUAAUAUCAGUGGAUGUUGAAAGAGAUAUCUUAGGACCUUAGUUUGUUUAACCCAAGUUCUGCUUUAAUAGAAGAGGUUUUAGGAUGCAGUCCUAGAAAAGUAGCCUGCUUCUAAAGAAACAGUCAUCUUUCAAGAAAUGAAACCAGGAAUACUUUACUUUUUGUCUUCCAGUACAGCUCUUCUCGUACAUUCUUCAAAAGAUCACCUUCUGGGACAUGGAAGAAGGAACCAGAAAACUUGGGCAGUGUCAACUUUAACUGGAAGCAGCAUACCUCAGAGCUGUGCAAUGCUGAACAGGGCAGAUAUAAUGAGGAAGAAAAUUCGCUAAUGUGUUUUGCUGAAUUCAUGCCUGGACGCUUGCGCUCCCAGACACCAACCCCACAUUGAUUAGCUAAACUUUGCCGGUAGCAGAGCAUGGCUGACUGCUGCUGUUCUGCCUUUUUUCACAGCAUCUGCUGGCAGACUGCACAACAAGUCUGAUUAUUUUCCUUUUGUUAUUUUGUUUUCUGUGAGGUCAGCAAAAUCAUCCUGUUGUCACAGUCUCUAUUGGAACUCCAGGAUACAAAAUAGUGAAAUAAACUUCUUUGAACAAGA